GGAUUGCCUUUCGCAAUUAUGUAAAACCAUGACAAAUCCACCAAAGACCUUGAUAGAUAAACUAUUGUGCAAUUUAUACUCGGAAGAUGGAUUUAUUCGAAAAAUAAGUUUCCAAGGGUUAAAUUAUAUUUACCAGGGUGGGACCAGGGAUGUAGCUUUUCUCGAAUAUCUUGAUAACUUGCAUGGAAAAAUUUUGAGUUUAGUGGCAAAAAGUGAAAUAACGUCGACAAUGUUAGAAGCAUUUGACAAAUACAAUUUAUCUCAAUUUCAAUUAAAUUUACUGCAAACGUUUGUUUCUUGUGAUUUUUUGGAUUUGGAAGUUAUCUCACUGGUGAACGAAAAUUGGUGGCCAUUUCAUCUCCUAGUUUCAAACUUGAUGAUGAAGUUCACUAGCAAGGAAGUCGAAAAGAUAGAUUUUUUGAGAAAGUUUUAUGAACUGAAAGAUUGGGCGGGAAGCGAGGAGGCGGCGCACAAAAUGGCCGAUCUACUAACUACAUGUUUUAGCUUCAAGACUUGUCCGGAUGAUUUACCUGGUGCAAUAGACAUUAUACUUUCACUAAGGUAUGAAGAAGUAGAAGAAUUUCUUCAUCUUAGAUCUAGCACUUGGGUAACAACGCUGUACAAGCUUUCUUUGAAACGUUUAAUUAGCGGGAAACUUCAGGAAAAUUUUAGUAAAGCCGGGGAUAAUUUAAAUGACUUUAUUUCGAAAAACCUACCUUUCCCCUUAGCGGUAAAAUUGGUCAGAUCGGUUAAAAAGAUAGAUGAUGUUUCAAAGCUUUACGACGUUCUGAAACUUUGCAAAAACCAUUUAGCCGACAUGGAAGAUCAAGUAGAUUUCAAUGCUUGUGUUAACAUUUCCGACUUAAAAUUACAGGUGGAACAAUACAUUUUACAACGUCUCAUAAAAACUUACUGUUUACAUGGCGGUAAUGCUCGAGAUGCGGCAAUUUUGAAAAGAAACAUUGGUUUGAUUCAUAGUGGAGGAAUUUCGUUUCAAGCUGUAGUCGACAUAUUGCAAUUUGGAAAGAUAUCGAUAGAUCGUAAUUGUAGAAAAUCUUGGGGACAGGUUGUGCGUGUAAUGGCAGAAAGUUGGGCUGGCGAAGAGACGAUUUUUGAAGUUUUGAAAAAGUUGGGGCAAACUGAGGAAAAGUUUUGGAUUCAGGAAGCUCGGCAACUAACCUUGUCGACAUCUUCCGGCUUUCUGGGAAAGGGAAGAAAACAAAUGUCUGAAAUCCUGGAGCACCUCGAACUUAAAAAUGUGGACAAGUCCCAGCUUGCCGCUACAUUUGAGAAUUGCGUUAAAAUGGGAAUUUACAAAUCGAGAUAUUGUUAUGCAGGGUUGGAAAAAGUUAUUGGCGAGUGGACAAUCUCUGACGUUAAGAAAUGGGCGAAAAUGGUAAACAUGCGUUUUCGAAUGGUAAUGUUAGAACUGGAUAAAGAAUUUGCGAUCGAAGCACUUUCCGUGGCGUACAGAGCCUUCUAUUUGCACAGUAAUUUCCAAUUAACUGCGGUCCAAAUUGUUUCAAUUUAUACCGGAUUGGUGAAAGGUUUACAAGGUCAGAUCCAACAGGUCGCUACAGGCUCAGGCAAAUCGACCAUAAUUGCGAUCCUUGCCGCAAUAAACGCUUUACGUGGCUUGAAGGUUGACAUAUUCACCAGCAAUCCAAUCCUAGCAGAGAGAGACGCCAUCUCGUGGUCACCAUUUUAUGCUAUGUUUAACCUCUCCUGUUCUCAUAAUGUGGAUUCCGGAAUUUAUCUUAAGGGUCCAAAACAUUGUUACAAGUCGCAUAUCGUUUAUGGAGAAACGUCUCAAUUCCAAUUCGACUUUCUCCGCGAUCAUUACAGCGGUUUAGGUACUUUGGCUGGAAGAAAGCAUCAGUUCGCCUUAAUUGAUGAAGCGGACAGCUUAUUGAUUGACGAUCUUAAUAAGAUAGCUAGACUCUCGUCACCAAUCCCUGGCAUGGACUGUCUUCAAAUUUUGUAUCAUUUAACAUACCAUCGAUUGGCGACACUUGAAAAGAGGUUUUUAGCUUUUGAAUCAUUCAUGUUGUAUGUGGAAGGGAAACUUACCAGAUUAGAUAGUGGGCUAAUCUCGUUGCAACUUGCGGAUAAGUCGAGUGGAGAAUUGUUAGAAAUUCCAGACUUGUUGGGAUACAUUAAAUCAGGUAGAUCAUUGUCUGAAGCAGGAAUUAUUAUUGUUGAUGACAUAGAAAAGUUUGUAAAGGGGCAUCUCACCAAUUUUCUGAAAGCACUUAUCACAGAUGAACUACCUCCACCCGGAUUUGAGGUCAGAGCUGAAGACAAGAUAAAAAUCCCCAAGUGCAUGACAGUCUUUGUGCAGAAUCAAAUUCCGAAAUGGGUCGAUAAUUGCAUAACGGCAUUUAACUAUUCUGAAAACAAACACUAUGUCGUAGAUAACGGCGAGAUCAAACCAGUCGAUUACAAUACGACUGGAAUCAUAAAUAAUUCUACCGCAUGGAGUGACGGACUUCAUCAAUUUCUUCAGAUCAAGCAUAACCUGAAACUUACAUCGGAAACGGUGACGACAAAUUUUCUCUCAAACAUAUCACUAUUUCGAAAAUAUAGAAGAACCAUAUUUCCCGCGGAGAGGUCAGAAUCUUCAAGUGUGAAAGAUAAUUUUACCUUUGUUGAACACAACAUUAUCGGCUUUACUGGCACGAUAGGAUCCACACAUGCGCAGAAUGUUAUCCAAAAUCUGUAUAACAUUACCCCAAUCAAAAUGCCGUCAGCCUAUCACCACUUAUACGUCCAGUAUCCAGACAUCCUGGUUCCGACAGAAAGGCAGUGGCUGCACGAAAUUACUGCGUCUGCGCUACAUCAUGCCCACCAUGGUAGGAGGGGAGUCCUCAUAAUUUGUGAAACCAUAGGCGACGCGAUGCUAAUAUAUGACGGAAUUAAGGCAACAAAUAUGUCAUUCGUUGUUAAAUUGUACACACAAAAUAAUUCCAAUCAAGAAACCACAAUUGCCAAAAUUUAUCCGGGAGAAAUCUUCAUUGCCACAAAUCUUGCCGGGCGAGGGACCGAUAUUAAUGCGCAUGACGUAGAAAAAUUUGGCGGUUUACAUGUUUGCCUCACAUUUGUGCCGAAUAACGUUCGCGUCGAGGAGCAAGCUUUCGGUCGAACAAGCCGACAAGGGCAAUUGGGUUCAGGACAGUUAAUUUGUCGAAGUGGGCUUACUACCGGAAUUGAGUUAAGGAAAUUAAGAGAUUUAGAGCAAGAAACGCAUUUAGAUGAAUAUCUUCAAACUGAGUUACCAAUCGUUUUAGCGAAGGAUGAAUGCUUUUCUCACUUUUGCAAAUUAUUACAUGAUUUUCGCGCCAAGUUGAAAACCACAUAUCGUCCAGGUUACGUAACCACAGCAAAGAAUAUUUGGAAUUAUAGUCCCACAAUUAGUGAAAGCGUCAUAAUUCAAGCCUUAGAAGAAAGAUGGUCCUUUUUCGUGUGCCAAAUCGACCACGGAAUAAUUUCAAGUGAAAUAGCAUUAGCUAGUUACUACUUGUUGGAACGGCGAAUUAAAAAGCAAUACGAGGUCGGAAGUUUGAUUCGUAGCCCGUUUUACUACAUUAUGCUAGGAAACGACUUUCUUGGGAGGGAUUCAAAAUGGAAAAAUUUUUUAGAAGAUGCUAAAACCUGUUACAAGAAAGCAAUCGACCUCGAUAAAGAUUUUUCCACAGCAGGUUUCGUUGGGUUAGGUUAUGUAGCUUUGAAAGGCACGAUGCACGCGGUACGGAAGAAUACGCACGAAUUCAACUACAGGACUAAAGCCAUUGGAUACUUAACGGAAGCACUGCCACUGCAAUGGAAAAUUUGGUAAUAUUGUGGGAGGUUUUGGAUAUCGUGGAAAGACCGGAAUAGCACGAGUACACCCAGAACAGAUUGACAAGGUUAUCAGGGAUAACGCCAGUCAAAUCUGGUCAGCUAGGGACCCAGAAUUUUGCGGAUAAGGAAAAAUGCCGGGAACUUGGCUUAGCCGGCUAGCAGUCCUGACCUAAAUCCCAUGAAGAAUUUUUGGGCCAACUUCUCGCGUCGGGUGGGCGUCAAUUUCGAACCAAAAAGGGAUUUGAGCAAAUGAUGCAUGGCGGAUGGGCAAAUAUCCUGCUGGAGACCCUUCAGCACUUCAAUAACUCAAUGAAGCGACGAAUAUUCGCGUUAAUUCUAGCUAAGAAAGAUUUCUCAUUGCAAAAAUGCUUCUCAAAAUUCCAUAUAAUUCAGAAGUUCCGUCAAUUCUUCUCGUUCUGAUCACAUUAUGUAACCACUUACAAGCAGCUCCACCGAAUAAUCUAAUUCAAAACAAGCAACCCAGACAAGAUAGUAGCGUCGAAUCUGCUGCUGGUGUUGGCGAAGGUACUCAACAAACCCUGGACGGCGUCGCGGUCAUCCUGGCGUCAAUUUUCAAAGGAAUCGCCGACAUUCCCGUGAGCGCUAUCAAUGCCGUCAUCCGUCCACAACAGCAACAACAAGGAAUUCCUGUCAUGAUCGGGAACAGCGUGGCAGCCCAGCCAAUCCAAAAUACGCAAAGAUUCCAACCAAAUCCCCAACUUCAAAGUUCCCAAGUGCAAAAUUUGCAACCUAACCAAAAUUCGCAACUUUAUCAAACUCAACCAAUUCAAGUCGUCCCUGUACAACCUCAGCAAAUUCAGUACGUCAACCCAAUCGUGAUUACGUCACCCCCACAAGAACAACGACCAGCCCCCACUCUUCUCCCAAGAACGGCACCCCCAACAACAACAGGAUCCGAUGAUGACGCCGAUGCCACCACGACCGACGACAUAGACGAGGAUGCCGACGCAGAGUCGGAAAAUUAAAAUUAAAAUUAUAUCGUUUUUUACAUUAAAUAAAUCAUGCCAGAUUUUUGCAAAAAAA